UCCUGCCAUAAGCCAAAAUAAAUUCCAGCUGAAUUAGACAACAUGUGACCUAGACAUAGGAAACCCAGAAAUUUAAAAUGACAUACCCGACUAAAAAAUUACUUUUUUCUAUGGCCAAAGGAGAUAUAUAUAUAUAUAUUAUAUAAAGAUAGCAGAGUUGGAAAAAUCACUUGCAAUAUAGGUGAAGUUAAUUUCAGCUCAUGAAGAGCUCAUGAGAACAGACAGGUGCCCAGGCCAAGUGCCUAUGUACUGGCUAUCUGCAGCAGAGAAAACCCAAAGAUUGGCAGAGUGUCAGCAGACUUACAGAUAACUACCAUUUGCUGAAAAGCAGGAAAGAGAAAGAAAACAUGCACUGCUGGUGGCAACUAAAAUAUUACUGCCCUUGGGGAAAGCAAUCUGAUUAUCAUCUCUUAAAAAUACAUACCUUUCAAUUUAAUAAUCUCACUCCUGAGAGGACAGCUUGUAGAAAUGCAAGCAUUAUAAUAAAGCUAUAGAGACAGCAAUAUUCAAAGAGAAAAACUCCAACAGUGAUGGUAGUCAACAGGGAACUGGUGGAAAACAACUCCCCACACAUAUUUAUAGUUUUGCAUGCAAUUAGGAAAAACACUAGGUUAUUAAUCUAGGUGUGAGGGUAGGUUAAAGGCAGGGGGGGAAAGGGAGACAAAAAGGCCUUAAAUCUGCAUUCUGUGAGUUCCUUCUCAGUGUAUCAGUGUUUCUCAGUAGGGGUCUACUGGCAUUUUGGGUAGACCAAUUCGUCAUUGCGUAGGGCUGUCCCUUUUUAUUAUGGAACACUCAGUGCAGGCCCCAGUCCUUGGAAUAACUCAUUCCAAAUUAUCUCCCUGCCCACAGGUCCAGAUGCCCUAUCCUACUGAGAACCAUUACCAUCUAUACACUGAUUCCGGGAGCAAGCAGAACCCACCUGGCCCUUUAUAACUACAAGGCGCUUCCUCAAAUGUUCUCUGCAUCCCUGAUGUGUACCUCACCUCUGACACCCCCGCAAUCCUUGUGUGUGACUACCACACAUGACUGACAAUGCUUCAUGACUUGCCUUAACUCAUUGGCCCUAAUGGAGCUGCUAAAUCAAAAAAGCCUUCAACUCCCACAUGCCAACAAGUACCAUUUUGUCUGUGAACAGGUCAUGGACCCUCUGGCUACUACCCACCUAAAUGGAAAGCCCCUGGCCCGGCCAGCCUUGUGGACUAUGUAACUCCUCCUCCUCCCCCUAGACGUCUUUCAAGUCUGUUCCCUCUCCAGUGUCCAGCUAGGUAUGCCCUGCUUCUAUGUCCUCUGCUCCCUUGAUCUGUAUAUCUCGGACACUAUCACACAGUUUAAAUUACUACGGGUUCAUAAUAAAUCACAUUUAAUUUUUCAUGCA